AGACUCAACCUAAAUAUUUGUAGAAAAUUGCCAUUUUUUAUUUUUAUUCAUCCUUAUAAAAUCUAAGUUUUCUCAUACAGACAUAGACGGAAAGGUCUCACCAGGUAACAACAUCUAAUGGAGAGGAAGUAAUCUCCUUACAUAAU